rnacentral:lncRNA from 1 species
AUGAAAAUGCAGAUCGAUCACAGGCUACCUCUACUGCUGGAGACCUGCUGUACAAGAUUUCAUUUCCAAAGGCAAAGAGGGGCGAAUGUGUUGCUAAACCACUCAAAGCAGCACCGACGUUUUAUUACGUUGAAAAUAAUCUGCUUGACACUAUCUUCGAGAAAGUCCUGCUGGACCUGGGAAGGUAUAUGGAGGAACUUUGGAACAUUCCGGUCCCAGCGCCCCAUUGUGCAGAUUUUGAGCGGCCUGACAGAAGGGAGGUCAUCGAUGCUAUGGUUUCACGAUUCAACAACCCACAGCAAAGCUAGGUUGAAAACUGACUUCACACCCUAUUACGGCUAUUCCUUUUUUUGCCAUUUGUUAUAUAAACUAUAGAAAGUUGUAACCUAAAUAUGACACAAGAGACACUUCAGUAAUGUACCAUUUUGUUUCCUACCUUCUACAGUGAUGCUAUGAAGAAGACCUGGAGACUUAAUCUGCUAGAGCUUCUGCACAGCUUCCGAGUGUGAUGAGAACAACAAAAAACAUGACAUCUCCCCAACCAUCUAUGGUCUUUUUAGCUUACUUCUACCAGGCUCUACAAACGUUCCUUUCAUUAGUCCAUCAGAAUGCCCCCCUCACUCACCAACUUGGACAAUAAACAUUGGACUGUUCUGAUAGGACUUAGAAAG